GGGGGUGUCUAGGUUUCGACAGGAGUGGUUGAAUUUUAUAGGCAGUAGUUUGGCAGACUAUAAUGCUACUAGGUUUGAAGAAACGCAAACAAAAACAACAAAGAAGAUAAAAUUGAAAUGCCAGCAUUCAUGAUGAAUAAUCAAUUUGCUGGUUCAAUGCUAGCUGCUUAAUUAACUCGCUGUUAGAGUUUUAGUUAGCCGUAAUAGAAACUAGUUGUAGGUUAAUAGUUUUUAUCGUAGGAAAAAAAUAAUCUAACCGGAAUAAUAAGGGGUAAUGGUAUUAUUUUUGGUUCCAAAUUACCUAGUAAUUUAAUUAGUUGUUCUGUCCUACCAUUAAAUUAUGAAUAAAGCUGAUAGAACUAAACUGUAGAUUAUAAGAGGAAAGCAUUUGUGGACGCGGGUUCGAUUCCCGCCACCUCCACCA
rnacentral:tmRNA from 1 species